rnacentral:misc_RNA from 1 species
AGACAUGGUACCUGAAAUCAUUUACAGUGGUAAAGAGGCAUGUAAAGAGUACAUUAAGAGAUUUUUGGCAGCAAUUCCUAUUAGGGAGUUACAAGUUGAUGUAAAGAAAGGAUUGAUGGCAUCGACACCCCUUCAUCAACGGCUACAAAUUGAAUUCCAUUACACAACUAGCUUUGACCCGAAGUUUGAGUCAUCGUCUACACAAGGACUGACCGCUAACAGUUUGGCCAUACUACCGUCAACAUCAGAGUAAGCAACGAUUAAGCUUUAUGAGUAUAUGCAUAAUGCUAAUCAUUUUAGGAAUUUUGAAUAGCUAAUUGCUGUUUAUCGCUCCCUGGAGAGUCCUUU